AAUAGAGUUAUCUCCACAGAUCCCCUAAUCAUCUACUUCUUUUCUUCCAGUGAAGAUCCAAACUUUCGUAACCUGUAUUUGGAGCCUUCGCUCAAAAUACGCAUCGGGAGAGUAAAUGAACGGACGGUUGGAUCUUCAGUGGCGAAUAUGGCGGCGGCUGUUCAUCUCAAAAUCAAGCUGGAAGAAUUAGCUGAAGAGAAUAGAGAAAAAGAGAAAAUUUAAACUGUAAGCAUGAUACACAGUUUAGGAGAAAGUGAGUUGAAAGUUUGAGCUAUCAAGAUUGAUUGAAUGUCACAUUGUGAAUUGGAAAAAUAUGAAGAAAUUAUAGCCUAUUAGGAAGACGUCGGUGCUGACCGAGACUUUGGCGUGCUAGAUGAUUUAUUAGGGAGUUGUCUUCACUCCAUGACCAAGACUUGGGGGUAAACCAUUGAUGGAGAUGGAGUUGUCCUCACUGCAUGACCAAGACUAGUUGUCUUCACUGAUGGAGAUGGAAUUAAAUUUUAAUGUCAUAUAAUAUUUAUCGUAACAAUAAUAAUGAA